rnacentral:rRNA from 1 species
UGCAAGUCGUACGCUUCUUUUUCCACCGGAGCUUGCUCCACCGGAAAAAGAAGAGUGGCGAACGGGUGAGUAACACGUGGGUAACCUGCCCAUCAGAAGGGGAUAACACUUGGAAACAGGUGCUAAUACCGUAUAACAAUCGAAACCGCAUGGUUUUGAUUUGAAAGGCGCUUUCGGGUGUCGCUGAUGGAUGGACCCGCGGUGCAUUAGCUAGUUGGUGAGGUAACGGCUCACCAAGGCCACGAUGCAUAGCCGACCUGAGAGGGUGAUCGGCCACAUUGGGACUGAGACACGGCCCAAACUCCUACGGGAGGCAGCAGUAGGGAAUCUUCGGCAAUGGACGAAAGUCUGACCGAGCAACGCCGCGUGAGUGAAGAAGGUUUUCGGAUCGUAAAACUCUGUUGUUAGAGAAGAACAAGGAUGAGAGUAACUGUUCAUCCCUUGACGGUAUCUAACCAGAAAGCCACGGCUAACUACGUGCCAGCAGCCGCGGUAAUACGUAGGUGGCAAGCGUUGUCCGGAUUUAUUGGGCGUAAAGCGAGCGCAGGCGGUUUCUUAAGUCUGAUGUGAAAGCCCCCGGCUCAACCGGGGAGGGUCAUUGGAAACUGGGAGACUUGAGUGCAGAAGAGGAGAGUGGAAUUCCAUGUGUAGCGGUGAAAUGCGUAGAUAUAU